rnacentral:tRNA from 1 species
CCACGGCUGGCCAACGGCGCCGAGCGCAGGGUCUGGCAGGCCCUGAUCGACCAGCUCGAGCCCGGCGACCUGGUC